rnacentral:rRNA from 1 species
AACGAACGCUGGCGGCAGGCUUAACACAUGCAAGUCGAACGCCCCGCAAGGGGAGUGGCAGACGGGUGAGUAACGCGUGGGAACAUACCCUUUCCUGCGGAAUAGCUCUGGGAAACUGGAAUUAAUACCGCAUACGCCCUACGGGGGAAAGAUUUAUCGGGGAAGGAUUGGCCCGCGUUGGAUUAGCUAGUUGGUGGGGUAAAGGCCUACCAAGGCGACGAGCCAUAGCUGGUCUGAGAGGAUGAUCAGCCACAUUGGGACUGAGACACGGCCCAGACUCCUACGGGAUGCAGCAGUGGGGAAUAUUGGACAAUGGGCGCAAGCCUGAUCCAGCCAUGCCGCGUGAGUGAUGAAGGCCUUAGGGUUGUAAAGCUCUUUCACCGAUGAAGAUAAUGACGGUAGUCGGAGAGGAAGCCCCGGCUAACUUCGUGCCAGCAGCCGCCGUAACAC